rfam:Canis lupus familiaris chromosome 3, whole genome shotgun sequence.
GGGGGGAGGCCGGAUCCUGGGCUGUGUCCCGGCGCCCUGUGCUCCGGAGCCUGCGCUGUUGGAUUCGCGCUCCCGGGCCGCAGGCCCCU